rnacentral:rRNA from 1 species
GAUGAACGCUGGCGGCGUGCCUAAUACAUGCAAGUCGAGCGAACAGACGAGGAGCUUGCUCCUCUGACGUUAGCGGCGGACGGGUGAGUAACACGUGGAUAACCUACCUAUAAGACUGGGAUAACUUCGGGACACCGGAGCUAAUACCGGAUAAUAUCUUGAACCGCAUGGUUCAAUAGUGAAAGGCGGUUUUGCUGUCACUUAUAGAUGGAUCCGCGCCGCAUUAGCUAGUUGGUAAGGUAACGGCUUACCAAGGCAACGAUGCGUAGCCGACCUGAGAGGGGGAUCGGCCACACUGGAACUGAGACACGGUCCAGACUCCUACGGGAGGCAGCAGUAGGGAAUCUUCCGCAAUGGGCGAAAGCCUGACGGAGCAACGCCGCGUGAGUGAUGAAGGCCUUCGGAUCGUAAAACUCUGUUAUUAGGGAAGAACAAAUGUGUAAGUAACUGUGCACGUCUUGACGGUACCUAAUCAGAAAGCAACGGCUAACUACGUG